GAUGAACGCUGGCGGCGUGCCUAAUACAUGCAAGUCGAACGCUGAAGGAGGAGCUUGCUCUUUCCGGAUGAGUUGCGAACGGGUGAGUAACGCGUAGGUAACCUGCCUGGUAGCGGGGGAUAACUAUUGGAAACGAUAGCUAAUACCGCAUAACAGUAGAUAUUGCAUGAUAUUUGCUUGAAAGGGGCAAUUGCUCCACUACCAGAUGGACCUGCGUUGUAUUAGCUAGUUGGUGAGGUAACGGCUCACCAAGGCGACGAUACAUAGCCGACCUGAGAGGGUGAUCGGCCACACGGGGACUGAGACACGGCCCAGACUCCUACGGGAGGCAGCAGUAGGGAAUCUUCGGCAAUGGACGGAAGUCUGACCGAGCAACGCCGCGUGAGUGAAGAAGGUUUUCGGAUCGUAAAGCUCUGUUGUAAGAGAAGAACGAGUGUGAGAGUGGAAAGUUCACACUGUGACGGUAUCUUACCAGAAAGGGACGGCUAACUACGUG
rnacentral:rRNA from 1 species